rnacentral:misc_RNA from 1 species
CAACCCAUCAAGCUUACGCUUGGUAUUGGGGCCUGCGGUUUCGCAGCCUCUAAACUCAGUGGCGGUGCAACUGAGCUCUGAGCGUAGUAAUUUUUCUCGCUAUAGGGUCUCGGUUGUUACUUGCCAGCAACCCCCAAUUUUUAUCA